UUGACGAUGGAUCACCAGUGAGUGGCGGACGGGUGAGUAACACGUAGGCAACCUGCCCCGGAGCGGGGGAUAACAUUUGGAAACAGAUGCUAAUACCGCAUAACAACAAAAGUCACAUGGCCUUUUGUUUGAAAGAUGGCUUUGGCUAUCACUCUGGGAUGGACCUGCGGUGCAUUAGCUAGUUGGUAAGGUAACGGCUUACCAAGGCGAUGAUGCAUAGCCGAGUUGAGAGACUGAUCGGCCACAAUGGAACUGAGACACGGUCCAUACUCCUACGGGAGGCAGCAGUAGGGAAUCUUCCACAAUGGGCGCAAGCCUGAUGGAGCAACACCGCGUGAGUGAAGAAGGGUUUCGGCUCGUAAAGCUCUGUUGUUGGAGAAGAACGUGCGUGAGAGUAACUGUUCACGCAGUGACGGUAUCCAACCAGAAAGUCACGGCUAACUACGUGCCAGCAGCCGCGGUAAUACGUAGGUGGCAAGCGUUAUCCGGAUUUAUUGGGCGUAAAGCGAGCGCAGGCGGUUGCUUAGGUCUGAUGUGAAAGCCUUCGGCUUAACCGAAGAAGUGCAUCGGAAACCGGGCGACUUGAGUGCAGAAGAGGACAGUGGAACUCCAUGUGUAGCGGUGGAAUGCGUAAGAUAUAUGGAAGAACACCAGUGGCGAAGGCGGCUGUCUGGUCUGCAACUGACGCUGAAGCUCGAAAGCAUGGGGUAGCGAACAGGAUUAGAUACCCUGGUAGUUCCAUGCCGU
rnacentral:rRNA from 1 species